rnacentral:rRNA from 1 species
AGCACUUUGAAGAGAGAGUUAAAGAGGACGUGAAACCGGUGAGGUGGAAACGGAUAGAGCUGGCGUAUCUGGCCUGCAUUCAGCCUUGGGCUGCUUGGCGUCGUGUUGUCGCUCUCCAGAUUGGGACGGCUGACGCGUCAGCCGGGUGGCACGUGGUUAAUUUGCAGGUGGAGUGCGCUGAGGUGCUCGGGUCAGCUGCAUGAACGCGGUUUUGAGGCCAGCUCCUCACGGAGUCUGGUACCCGGACCGCGGGAGGGUUGUUUGGCCUGAGUGUGCACACAUGGACAAUGGUUUCGGGCUCGUGUGGGUGCCGAGCUGGCAGUCGGCGGCGGUCGCGUGCGACACGUGCCAGCGGUCAGUUCGGUCCUGCUCGAGCUCUCAUCUGCCUGUCCUCGGUGUAAAAGCCGGUCAUCUAUCCGACCCGUCUUGAAACACGGACCAAGGAGUUUAGCGUGUGCGCGAGUCAUUGGGCGUUCAAAACCCAAAGGCGCAAUGAAAGUGAAGGUCUCCCUUGUGGAGCUGACGUGUGAUCCUGGCCACUGCGGUGCUGCCGGGCGCAACAUGGUCCCGUUCUGACCGCUUGCGGUGGGGCGGAGACAGAGCGUACGCGCUGAGACCCGAAAGAUGGUGAACUAUUCCUGAGCAGGAUGAAGCCAGUGGAAACUCUGGUGGAAGUCCGAAGCGAUUCUGACGUGCAAA